UUCUCUUCAGCCCCCUCUGCCAUACUUUUUUAAGAGGCCCUCUCACUAAAUCUGAAGCCCACUAUUUUGGCUACACCUCUCUUUGUCCCUCUAUUUCUGAGCAUGUGUUCCUAUGCAUACCCAUGCCUGGCCUUUACACGGGCAUUGGACAUUUUAUCUCAUGUCCUCUUGCUUAUGCCAUGAUUGCUCUUACAGAGUGAACCAUUUCCCCAGCCCCCAACCUUGGUUUUACUGGCAUCACAGAAAUGUUCUGCAGGAAGCCAUUCUUCCCAGCACUCUUGGAGGUGCUAGCUGCUGCGUCUGGCUUGCAAGGCCACCUUCUGCUCCUGAGUUGUCAGCCUACCCACCCCAUGCCCCUGGGCUACGUAGUUCUCAAGCCAUACAGUCCUUCUGAGACUGUUUUAGUUGUUCUUUUACUUUUCACGUUGUAGCUUCUGGGUUUAGAUGAUCGCAAUCAAAUAAUGGGUGUCAGUCUGUGUGCCUGGGGGUGGAAGGAUGUUCUUGGUUGAUGGAAUUGCCUAUGUGAAAGUAGAUGUAAGAAGGCAGGAAUAUUUAUAAUUUCUUAUGGCUCUGCAAGGUGUAAAUCCUGUGUACUUGGGAGAUGUAUACCAAAGGAUGAAAAGCUCGAGGUCUUUGUCUACUUCGGGUUACAAGAUUUUGUCCACUACAGCCUAGGUUACAUGACCCCCUAUUUCCCAAAGGCCACCAGGGAAGGGCAUUUCUGCUGAGUGGGGAGCUGUCAGUCAAACACAGCUGAAGAGGUGCCCUGCUUUGUGGCAGCCCUGUCAACUCCAGCCACGGGUGAGGACCCCAGCAGCCACACUACAGGCAGGGCUCAAGACAUGCCGUGGUUACGGCCAAUCUAGACCCCUGUUACAGCCUCAGAGAGCAGCAUUCCUAAACUAGACACUCUAGAUGACCCUGAAGUCACUUUCCCUGGGCCAGAGGAGGAUGCUACUUCUAUGUCCAUCUCUCCCAGAAGAUCUUCCGUACAAACUCAAUCCUUCAUCUGCACUGUGGACAGCAAUUGCUGUAAUACUCUUACAACACGUAACCUGUUACCUACACAACUGUUUGCCUCAGCUUUUUCAGACAGGUCUUCGCGUGCACUUAACCUGGUUGUGUAGCUACUGACCUCCCCAGCCUGUAUUUCCCGUAUGUUCAGAUUACAAACAUUGAUACCUCACUAGGUUUAACUCCUGUUUAGAAGCAGCAAGCCACCGCCAUCGAUUCACGACAGGCCCAUAAAUCCUCUGCUAUAUUUAGUUUUUGAAAUACUAUGGCAGGCCUGAGGUGGUAAUAUGAGAAGUAGACUACUGGUUAGGGUCAGAGCCUAAAACCGUAAGCUUGUGAAUCCCAGGAUUUAGUCCAGUAUGGUUCCUAUUUUGAACUUGGGAGGCCCAAGUCAACUAGCCACAGCCUACCAGCAACUUACCUGCUCGCCAUUUCCUCUCUCCUCUCCUUUCCUCCCUCCCUCUUUCUGAAACUACAGCGAAAGUAGCCCAGGCUCUCAUCAAAUGGUCUGUAUUUCUCAGAAUAUCUCUUAACACACUUGCUUCUACUUCUAAGUGCGGGGUUGAUGACAUGGGCCAUCGCACCAGACUUCCUAUUCAUGAUGUCUGAUUAAGACAAAAGAAUCAAACCCAGGUGGCUCUUAAAUAUAUAUUACAUGGAUGUAUAGGUGUUCAGGAAUAAGCUAGGGAGGCAUUCUGGACACAGCGCUUACUUUAGGUCACAGCAGAAAUGACUGAAAUAAGGUCUCAUAGUUAAAAAGGAUUUGAAACUGAAAGACAGUUUGCAAAGGCGGCAGGAGGUAAGGCCUCAGUUCAGGGACACACAGUCUAAUGCGACCCUUGGCUGCCGCCCCCAAAACGUUGCCACUAAACUCUUCCAGCCAGUUUUCGCCCAUGUGGGACCAACCCAUUCUUCCCUACCGGAAGUGGAAGGGGCGGAGCCUGCGGAAGUUCUAUCUCCACCAGGCACAAGAGGCCAAUGUGUAACUUCCUUUCGGGGAGGGGACACUUCCAGUUACUGCGCCAGCCUAACCCUACGGAUGCCGAGUGUGGCCAGCGCAGUGCGCCUGCGGGCUGUCCUUGCAUCCCGCGCGCCGUGGGCGUUACUAACGGACAGCACCCGCCUCUGGGAGCUCAGAUACAGUGCUGCUUCAGGAACUGUGGACCCUCGGACCCGGCCCCUGUUAAUGUUGAAAAACCAGGAAAUAUGAAUCUUAGUUAAGGACCGCGCGAGGCGUGUUGGAGAAUAUAUUUCCAGCUCACCAAAGUAAAAAAGACUACUCGACUGCACAGAUUCACAGUCGAGUUGAAAUCGAUCUGAAAAAAAGAAUUGGUGCACGUUAAUUUGAACCAAAUCUCCCAAGAGCCAGGACUAAAGGAUCAGAGCUCACCAAAGGAGAUCACAACACGGGGUAUGAGUUCCUGAGAACCUGUUGUAAAUACGCCAGCUAUUUAAUGUCACUUGGAACCUACAAGUUAGCUAACAACCAGAUCUCCUUCCCAAAUGAAGGACCGUGGCUCAGGUGUCCUUGGAUGACCUGAAACUCACAUCUUCCGGCCUAGCUUUGGACUAACGGGCAGGCACAUGGCCUCAGCUCCGGAGUGCUGGGAUUAUAGGCAUGUGCCACCAUGCGCAGCUCUGUUUUGUAUUUUGAGACAGGAUCUUACUUUCUAACCCAGCUGAGUGACAGCAAGCCUCCUGGCCUCUAGAGUGCUGGGUUUUCAGGUGUCUAAAACCAUACCCAAUUUACUUUCUGUAUCUUAGGAUGUUUUGACAUUUCCUGAGGCAUGAAGGCUUGGGGGAGGUUUACGGUUAGGAUGGGUCAUCGUUUGGGGCCACAAAAACGUUCUCUACCAGGAGCGUGGCUAUCUUGAACAAACUAACCAGUCCUGGGUCUGUAUUCCUGACAACUUCCUGAUUUAAGUCUCACACUCAGACCAGUUUUUCUCUUCUCCUAACUCACCCAGAGCCAGGUAUCAGGCGAUGAGCCACCACUUCUGUACCCAAACCCACUGAACUAUUCUAGUUUGCCAACGCUGAGCACCUUGCUGUGCCCAGGUUUGCCCUUCCCUUAGAAAUGCCAGCAAAGUCUCUACCUCAGACUUUCCUCCACAUUCGACUUCUUUGUUUUAAGAGCUUGGGCUACUCUGCAACUUUCCACGUAGCCUACUGACCUUGAACUUGUGAUUCUCCUGUGCCAAGCUCCUGAGUGCUGAGACUGCACCUGCACACUGAGCGUUCUCCCAUCAACCUGUGUUCUACGUCAGACAGACUUGGUGCUCACCCUGGCCCUGCCUAGCCAUGGGACACCCCCCUCUCUGGGUAGGAUCUGUGACUGUAGAACCAUCUUCCUUCCAAGUUUCCUUCGGGUCCCCUCCUGGGGCUAUAAGAGCUUUACUACCCCACCUUCAAUGUCUGCAUCCUUAAUAAGUACAAGUGUCUAGGAAAGCAGCCGUGAGGACACAGGACAGAUGAUAAGCCAAAAGUCUUAACUCACCUCAAGAAAUAGAUGAAAGAAACUCGGAGACUACUGGGAAUUCUCCUCUUUGAGUUAGGAUCCUCUUAGGGGGUGGGGGGCUGGCAACAGACUUGACCACAGGAUUCAGAGGUCAUAGGACCUGAUGGCUUGGUCACUAUCUGUCACACCAAUAAGCCUUCUCAAAAAAAAGAUGAGGGGUUAUUAAGAAAGGAUCCUAGGGGCCAGAAGGAUGGCUCAAUGGGUAAACUGUGAUGACCCAAGUUCUAUCCCCAAGACCCAUACAUUAGAACAAGUUAACUCCUCCAAGUUGUCCUCUGAUCUCCACCUGUGCACUGAGGCCUGCAUGCCCAGUGCCGACACAGGAGAGGACUGUGAUAAAACAUUUAUAGAAAGGGCAUUAGGUCUGAGGAACGAGUGCAAUCGGCAGAGUGCUACCUAGUGUGCAGGAAGCUGGGCGUUCCUCUGCCAAAGCACAUGAAGGGCAGUUGGUACUCGGUCCUGCUCUCCUGCGGGCAGGGUUGCUGGACCAGGAGGUGUCUUCUCUGGGGACACAGUGAGUCCUUUGUUAUCCUACACGAGACCAUGAAAUGCCAUUAAAGGCUCUCUCUCCCACAGAA
rnacentral:sRNA from 1 species